UUGCAUUUCAUUUUCCGAUCUUCAGUUUCUUGUUUUCUUUCUUGCGUUAUGGCUAGCACUGCUGGAAUUGAGACUUCUCUUUCUGACUUGAACGAUAUUGAGUUCUCAGAUAUCGAUAGUGACCCUUCUUAAGUCAUUACUUGAAGAGUCGCCAUUAAAGGGUACUAGAGACGAUGAAAUGUCAAUAAAUGUAAUCUGAUCUUUAGAAGAAGAGAUUUUGGAUCAUAAUUUGUUCCCCGAGACUUGUAAAGAAUGCUAUGUCGAUGAUUGUCCAUCACUCGAUUUGGAUCUAAUGGACAGUUGUUCAACAUCAUCAGAUAGUCUUGAUAUUAGUCGAACAAGAGAUUAUAAGAACAAUUAUUUGACGGAGCAUGGUGUAGAAGAAUUUGUAGGCAUUAAGGAUUAUUCACAAGAUUAUGGGCCACCCUUGGAGGAGAUGGAAUAUAUCUCUUUGUGGCAAGAAACUUAUCAGUACACAACAUAUGGCUAAAAUCUAGUUUUUUUUUUUUUUUUUGGAUUAAAAAAAAAAUGAUUCAAUUUAUUGUACUCUUGCUUCGGCAAUAGUUGAUAUUUGUGUACAUUCUAAUAGUAAAUUGAACUUUAUGUCAG
rnacentral:lncRNA from 1 species